rnacentral:lncRNA from 1 species
AGUCUAUCUUAAAUUACCCUUAUUAUCAUCAGUAAUGUCACUUGCAUAACUUAACGGACUUAAAUUUGUAAAGUUCUUGUUUCAUUAGGGUAUUUUUAAAAACACUGGGCAGAUACUUUCUAAUUAAAGAGGCACACGAUUAACUACAAAUAAUAUGCUGCUUUCAACAUAGUGCUGCCUCACAACUAACGUAGUAAGUAAAACAAAGCCUAAAAGGGCCAGGGAUUUGGCUCAGUGGUUCCGCCCCCUGCCUCGAAAGGACCCUGAGUUCGAUCCCCGGUACCAAAAAAAGACACCUAAAAAUCCAUAAAGUACUAAUGAUUACAUAAGCACAACUCAGGUGGCACUAUAUUAAGAAUCAAUACGCAGUCUUCACCGCACCUUCGGUGCUUGGUAGAGUAAAAAGCAGACGUCUAUCAAUAAAUAUCGGGGCAAAGACACACGUACGUACACAGGGGGACACGGAUCACACCACACUUCGCUCUUCCCCAGCAGGCGCCCUGGAACACGCGCGCCCAGCGUGCCCAGCUCCCGAGGGCCCGGCUCACGGUCACACUGCGUGCUCGUGGGCGCUACUCUGGGAUCCCAAAGUCUUGCUCUGCCUCUCUAGAGCCCAAAGCAACGUUAAAACAAAGAGAAAAAUACUGCACGAGGAUCCAGACUGUAUUCAGAGCAGAUGAGGCUCAGAGAGGCAGCCCGUUCCGAGAUCCACUUCCUACACACCAGGGAUCGAACUCAGACCUUGCCCUUGUGAGACAGGUGCGGUGCCACUGAGCUAAAUCACCUGCAGUAUUUCAUUGUUUAAAUCUAUUAGCCCUGUGUGGUGGUGCACACCUGUAAUCCCAGAACUCGAGAGGCUGAGGCAGGAGGGUCACCUCCAGUUUGAGGCCAGCCUGGGCUACAUAAUGAGUUCAAGGACAGCCGAGACAACAUACCAAGACCCUAUCCCAAUAGUAAAUAAAUAAUAAAUAAGUAAAAUCCAUGAUUGCUGCUGUCAGGAUGGAUGAAAGUUUAAAUGAAAUGAUGUAUCUUAGCACGCUCUCCUCGGGGCAUAGCCUCCUCUUUGUAGUGUGUCCUUGAUUUGGCUUCAGGAAAAGAUCACAAGGGGAAUGGAUGGGAAAUAUCUGAGAAGCAGCAGCUAAGAUAGCGCCAGGAGCAAACCUGGCAACUGGUACAGCAGGUGGUCAGUAAAUGAUAGAGUUGAAAUUCUAUGGAGAUUUUUCAACUUUUAGUAAAAGGAUAGUUUGGUAGAAAGUAGAGGAAGGUGGGCCUUUACAGAUUUGUGCAGGUAGGAGAGUAAAAUAUGCUGCUUUCUUGAGUUCCUCCAGACACCAACCUCGAAGCCAGGAUUGGAAUGCAAGACAUGUACCUGGCGGUGAAGAAAGAAAGCAGCCACGGGGGUGUGAGAUGACACAGGGAGGUAGUGUCCCGUGUCCAGGAGGUGUGUGAUCUACCCACGGCAUCUGGAGCUUCAGCCCCCUAGGAAAAUUGUGGGCACAGGGAGGCAGUAACCUCUCUUCUACUUUCAAAUAAAACUUAGUAGCACAAAGCUGAAAUACACAUUGACUUUGUGGGAUUUUAACACAUGUGCAGGAUGGACCCAGCAUCCCAAUUGUAUUUUUCUAGAACUGCUGAAUGAUUCCUCUGGCUCCACAGUAGCAGGGGGGCUUUUGCCACUUUUAAUGUCAGCUUGUGAGCUUUAUGUUGCACACAGUGUUUACACUGCCAGCUCACCCUAUAAUUCAGUAAAAUGGGCUUGAGGAGCUGGAGGUGGUGGUGCCCACCUGCAAUCCCAGCACUCUGGAGGCUGAGACCAGCCUGGGCUACAUAGUGAGGCCUUGUCGCAAAACAAAACAACAACAACACAAUGUCAGAAUUUGUAAAUGCAGUCUUUUUUUCGUUUUUGAGCAGGAUCUCGAUGUGUAGCUCAGGCUGACCUUGAACUCACUUUGUAUCCCAGGCUGGCCUCAAACUCAUGGCAGUCCUCCUGCAGCCUUCCAAGUGCUGGAAUUACAGGCAUGUGCUACCAGGCCUGGCUAUGCUGUCAUCUUCAUGAGUAUAUAAAGCAUAACCUGUCAUUUCCCAGUAUCAGUCCAAAUGACUCCUAAACUGUGAGAGCAGCUCC